GAAAAAGUACGCAAGAACUGCUAACUCUAUGCUCCAUGCUUAAUAACAUGGCUUUUUCA
rnacentral:tRNA from 1 species